GACGAACGCUGGCGGCGUGCUUAACACAUGCAAGUCGAACGGAAAGGCCCUGCUUUUGUGGGGUGCUCGAGUGGCGAACGGGUGAGUAACACGUGAGUAACCUGCCCUUGACUUUGGGAUAACUUCAGGAAACUGGGGCUAAUACCGGAUAGGAGCUCCUGCUGCAUGGUGGGGGUUGGAAAGUUUCGGCGGUUGGGGAUGGACUCGCGGCUUAUCAGCUUGUUGGUGGGGUAGUGGCUUACCAAGGCUUUGACGGGUAGCCGGCCUGAGAGGGUGACCGGGCACAUGGGGACAGAGGAGGGGCCAAGGCUCAUGCGGGGGGGAGGGGUGGGGAAUUGUGCCAAAGGGGCGGAGGCCGGGUGGAAGAACGCCGGGGGGGGGAGGACGGCCUUUGGGUGGUAAACCGAUUUCGCGUGUACCGAAGGGUGGGUAAGGGAAAUGGAGAAAAAACCACCGGCAACCUCGGG
rnacentral:rRNA from 1 species